rnacentral:rRNA from 1 species
CCCUUAGAUGUUCUGGGCCGCACGCGUGCUACACUGAGUGGAUCAGCGGGUCAGGUUACGCGAGAGCGUUUCCUAAUCUUCAAAUCCGCUCGUGAUGGGGAUUGACGGUUGCAAUUUUCCGUCAUGAACGAGGAAUACCUUGUAAGCGCGGGUCAUCAUCCCGCGCUGAAUACGUCCCUGCCCUUUGUACACACCGCCCGUCGCUCCUACCGAUUGAAUGAUCCGAUGAAUACCGUGGAUUGAGUGUUCGAAUGGGUUCUCUCAUUUCAGCAUCUCUGAGAAGCGGAGUAAAUCUUAUCAUUUAGAGGAAGGAGAAGUCGUAACA